rnacentral:rRNA from 1 species
GAUGAACGCUGGCGGCGUGCCUAAUACAUGCAAGUCGAGCGAACAGACGAGGAGCUUGCUCCUUCGACGUUAGCGGCGGACGGGUGAGUAACACGUAGGUAACCUACCUAUAAGACUGGGAUAACUUCGGGAAACCGGAGCUAAUACCGGAUAAUAUUUCGAACCGCAUGGUUCGAUAGUGAAAGAUGGCUUUGCUAUCACUUAUAGAUGGACCUGCGCCGUAUUAGCUAGUUGGUAAGGUAACGGCUUACCAAGGCAACGAUACGUAGCCGACCUGAGAGGGUGAUAGGCCACACUGGAACUGAGACACGGUCAAGACUCCUACGGGAGGCAGCAGUAGGGAAUCUUCCGCAAUGGGCGAAAGCCUGACGGAGCAACGCCGCGUGAGUGAUGAAGGUCUUCGGAUCGUAAAACUCUGUUAUUAGGGAAGAACAAACGUGUAAGUAACUGUGCACGUCUUGACGGUACCUAAUCAGAAAGCCACGGCUAACUACGUG